AUUUCAAGAUUUCAUCGCUUUUUCCCCACUGAGUAAAGUGUUUGAAGAAAAUCAAGCUGCACACAGAACAAUGGUUGGAACAGGCCAGAGUAUGAAGGCAUCAGCAAGGAUGUUGGGGAAGGCUGAGAUCCCAGCCAGGCCUGGAAGUAGGGUGAAUUCAACUUGACUCCUGGCUGAAAGAUGGAACGUGUGUUAAACAACGAAUCCAAAUGGGUGCAUAAGAGGUUCUAGCUUGGUCCCAGGACCAGUGCCAAGCAAGCUACAUUCAGAAGGGAGGCAAGGCUAGCUGAGUUUGGGCUCAAGUUUUUGUUCUGCCUGGUACCUUACCUGUUUAGCCCCAAAUAAACAUGCAGAGGCUUAUAUUAAUUAUAAA